UAAACAACCCCAGUUCCUGCAGCUGCUCCUCAUAAGACUGCUUCUCCUUCAAAGGCAGACUCUGUGUUUGCUAACAUAAUGUCUCUCUCAGCAGGUAGGAUCUCUGUCAGAGUUGACAUGUUGCAUAACUGAUUUUGAACUCUGCUUUGGGUACCAUCAGAAGAGAGAAGUGGCAGCCUCUAUGCCUGGAAAGACCCUUCAUCUUACAUCCAGUGCCUCAGUUUUUGUGGAAGGGACAGGGAGUGCAGGUCACUGCACAAAGCAAAUGGCUGCUUUCUAAAGAGAGGACGGGAAGGGACUGCUAAACAUGAAGAAACUUCCUGCAAAGCCACCAGACUGGAAAAGAGGUAUUUUUGCCUGAAUCUAUCCUGCUUCACUAAGCCAAAUGGUUUGAAAAGGUACUGCGUGGAUCUUGAUUUCAAGCACAGAGAAACAAGCUGACUCUGAAGAAAGUGUGCAAGGACAAAACAGACCAGUGUGCCCAUUUUUUUUCCUUUUUCACUUCUUUCAGGCCAGCAGAGAACUAACAUGAGGGAGAAACAAAGAACAGAGUGGUAGUAUUUUGGUGUUGUGUUUAGGUAUGUCCUUGCACGCUUCUCAGCUGUGCCCAGCACUGUAGUACUCGCUGACUGGGGUCUGAUUCAGGCUCUCCUGAAUGUUGUUUCCCAGCAGUCUUAGACAUGUAAAUCAUCAAAUGGGGCCUGCUGGCUUGUGUCUGGAAAAUGGGAGUCCUUGGGAUACUUAUAGCUUUUUAUUUCUUCAUAGAGGAUAUGGAAGCUUAAGAGAAGCAGUGGUCUAAAAUACGUGUCACUUCUGCUCCUUUUCCCCUGGGUAUCUACUCACUAGUUCUUUUCAUUCCUCCAUUUUCUAAUAUUCCCUCUCUGCUCCAGUCAGAGGGAUCAGCAGGUAUUUUUUCAGCUUUUCUGAACUCUCACUUCCAUAGGAAGGAAAAUAGAAUCAUUGGAGACCUAAACCAGAGCAGCAGUUAGUGCAGGUUGUGGACAAUGUUGGAACAGCUAAUGGGUUUUCCAAUUUGACACAAUAGAAAUAAAAAGGCUUUUUAAAAAUGAACCCAAUUUAAAUACAGGUUUUCUGUGCCCUGACUCAUAAAAGAUUGUUUAAUAUAGUAGUAAGUUCCCUGCUUCUGUUCUGAGUGCUUGGCUUCACUCGUAAGGAGUAUGGAGCAGGACUACAAUCUUUGCAGACUUCAGACAGCCUCCCCAAAUACUCUAGAUAUAUUGGGAAGUACUGGUGGAUAAUAUUCUGUGGCUGAAUUCUGUGUUUUGUGUUGAUAAUAAAUAAUAAUAAUAAAAAAAUAAUAAUCCUGAAGUCUGUACCUUAUGCAUGUGUUCUUUAUGUCUGGAAACACAGCCAGAAUGGCUUUCAGAAUACGGCACAGAAGUUGAAAACUGAAGAGCUUAAUUUUUUAUUUAGGGAUGAACACUAG